UGAACAAUACAAACACCUCCAAUUAGUUACACUUCAAUUUUACUGUCAAGUUCUUAUAUCUUGGGAUCGGUUAUAUAAGCAAAAUGUAUCCAUUCUACUUUAUCAAGGCAAAUUUGGAAUACUUUUAGACUAGACGCUCUCUACAUCUCACACUUAUCUGUAGGUACAAAUCUAAUGGUGCACGAGUAAUUAUAUAGGAGUUAAAAGUGUGACAAGUUUACUUACCAUUCUUGGUGCUCCGUCAAUUUCAGCAACUUCCAUCCCAGUAACAAUCAUUCCAGGUACAACCUCUCUGGUAAGUCUAACAAUUGCAUCCUCAGCAGCGUUCAUGUCCAAAGCUUUCAUCCCAGGAACAUGGUUGAUCAUGCCAAUGCUCUUAAGCCUCUUAACACCAGUGGCACCCAUGGGACCGUCGUGGCCACAGGAGCUGACCACAAUCUUAGCCUC
rnacentral:lncRNA from 1 species